rnacentral:rRNA from 1 species
GAUGAAUGCUGGCGGUGUGCCUUAAGCAUGCAAGUUGAACGGUAAAUUAGUCUUCGGACUAAUACAAGUAGCAGACGGGUGAGUACAACACAGGAACUUACCCUCAAGUGGGGAAUAGCCAGUCGAAAGAUUGGGUAAUACCGCAUGUGAUCUACGGAUCAAAGCCUUCGGGCGCUUGAGGAGAGGCCUGUGCCCUAUCAGGUAGUUGGUGAGGUAAUAGCUCACCAAGCCUAUGACGGGUAGCCGGUGUGAGAGCACGACCGGCCACAAGGUUACUGAGAUACGGAACCUACACCUACGGGUGGCAG